UUUCCGGAACAUGAAGGCCCUGAUUUAGGAGGGAACGGGCCCGGGGGCCAUUCGUAAUGCGCCGCUAGAAGUGAAAAUUUUUGGAACCGGCGGCAAGACGGACCCAGAGCGAAAGCAUUUGCCCAAGAAUGUUUCCAUUAAUCAAGAACGAAAGUCGGAGGUUCGAAGAACGAUCAGAUACCGUCGUAGUUCCGACCCAUAAACGGAUGCCGACUGGCGAUGCGGCGGCGUUUAUUCCCAUGACCCCGCCGGGCAGCUUCCCGGGAAACCAAAGUCUUUGGGUCCCGGGGGGAGUAUGGUUGCAAAGCUGAAACUUAAAGGAAUUGACGGAAGGGCACCACCAGGAGUGGAGCCUGCGGCUUAAUUUGACUCAACACGGGAAACCUCACCCGGCCCGGACACGGACAGGAUUGACAGAUUGAUAGCUCUUUCUCGAUUCCGUGGGUGGUGGUGCAUGGCCGUUCUUAGUUGGUGGAGCGAUUUGUCUGGUUAAUUCCGAUAACGAACGAGACUCUGGCAUGCUAACUAGUUACGCGACCCCCGAGCGGUCGGCGUCCCCCAACUUCUUAGAGGGACAAGUGGCGUUCAGCCACCCGAGAUUGAGCAAUAACAGGUCUGUGAUGCCCUUAGAUGUCCGGGGCUGCACGCGCGCUACACUGACUGGCUCAGCGUGUGCCUACCCUACGCCGGCAGGCGCGGGUAACCCGUUGAACCCCAUUCGUGAUGGGGAUCGGGGAUUGCAAUUAUUCCCCAUGAACGAGGAAUUCCCAGUAAGUGCGGGUCAUAAGCUUGCGUUGAUUAAGUCCCUGCCCUUUGUACACACCGCCCGUCGCUACUACCGAUUGGAUGGUUUAGUGAGGCCCUCGGAUCGGCCCCGCCGGGGUCGGCCCACGGCCCUGGCGGAGCGCUGAGAAGACGGUCGAACUUGACUAUCUAGAGGAAGUAAAAGUCGUAACAAGGUUUCCGUAGGUGAACCUGCGGAAG
rnacentral:rRNA from 1 species